UACGGGGGGGGCAAGCGUUGUUCGGAAUUACUGGGCGUAAAGGGCUCGUAGGUGGCCAACUAAGUCAGACGUGAAAUCCCUCAGCUUAACUGGGGAACUGCGUCUGAUACUGGAUGGCUUGAGUUUGGGAGAGGGAUGCGGAAUUCCAGGUGUAGCGGUGAAAUGCGUAGAUAUCUGGAGGAACACCGGUGGCGAAGGCGGCAUCCUGGACCGGCAUUGACGCUGAGGAGCGAAAGCCAGGGGAGCAAACGGG
rnacentral:rRNA from 1 species